rnacentral:rRNA from 1 species
AUUGAACGCUGGCGGAAUGCUUUACACAUGCAAGUCGAACGGCAGCACGGGGGCAGCCCUGGCGGCGAGUGGCGAACGGGUGAGUAAUACAUCGGAACGUGCCCGGUCGUGGGGGAUAACGUAGCGAAAGUUACGCUAAUACCGCAUACGAUCUGAGGAUGAAAGCGGGGGACCUUCGGUCCUCGCGCGAUCGGAGCGGCCGAUGUCAGAUUAGGUAGUUGGUGGGGUAAAGGCCUACCAAGCCGACGAUCUGUAGCUGGUCUGAGAGGACGACCAGCCACACUGGGACUGAGACACGGCCCAGACUCCUACGGGAGGCAGCAGUGGGGAAUUUUGGACAAUGGGCGCAAGCCUGAUCCAGCCAUUCCGCGUGCAGGACGAAGGCCUUCGGGUUGUAAACUGCUUUUGUACGGAACGAAAAGGCUCUGGCUAAUACCUGGGGCUCAUGACGGUACCGUAAGAAUAAGCACCGGCUAACUACGUG